GGAAGGCCACCUGUGCCUGUGGGGACAGGGGGUGACAGAGGUGACAGGGACCCCCAGAGACCCUCUGGGCCCCCUGGAUAACCGCCACUCCCACACCCUGCCUCAGAGACCCCCAAGUUCCCUGGGGUUCUCCUGCCCCUUGCGCUCGCCCUGCAGGAAGGCCACCUGUGCCUGUGGGGACAGGGGGGUGACAGAGGUGACAGGGACCCCCAGAGACCCUCUAGGACCUCUGGACACCCAGUAUUCCCUUGCCCAUCCCCAGGGACCCCCAAGUUCCCUCAGGUUCUCCUGGCCCUUGCGCUCGCCCUGCAGGAAGGCCACCUGUGCCUAUGGGGACAGGGAGGUGACAGGG